UGGGGAAUAUUGGACAAUGGGGGGAACCCUGAUCCAGCCAUGCCGCGUGUGUGAAGAAGGCCUUAUGGUUGUAAAGCACUUUAAGCGAGGAGGAGGGUACUGGUAUUAAUACUACCAGCUACUGGACGUUACUCGCAGAAUAAGCACCGGCUAACUCUGUGCCAGCAGCCGCGGUAAUACAGAGGGUGCGAGCGUUAAUCGGAUUUACUGGGCGUAAAGCGUGCGUAGGCGGCUAAUUGAGUCGGAUGUGAAAUCCCCGAGCUUAACUUGGGAAUUGCAUUCGAUACUGGUUAGCUAGAGUGUGGGAGAGGAUGGUAGAAUUCCAGGUGUAGCGGUGAAAUGCGUAGAGAUCUGGAGGAAUACCGACGGCGAAGGCAGCCAUCUGGCCUAACACUGACGCUGAGGUACGAAAGCAUGGGGAGCAAACAGG
rnacentral:rRNA from 1 species